rnacentral:rRNA from 1 species
UACGAAGGGGGGCUAGCGUUGCUCGGAAUUACUGGGCGUAAAGCGCACGUAGGCGGCUUUCUAAGUCGGGGGUGAAAUCCUGGAGCUCAACUCCAGAACUGCCUUCGAUACUGGAGAGCUCGAGUCCGGGAGAGGUGAGUGGAAUUGCGAGUGUAGAGGUGAAAUUCGUAGGAUAUUCGCAAGAACACCAGUGGCGAAGGCAGCCCCCCUGGGCUAACACUGACGCUCAGGGCACGAAAGCGUGGGGAGCAAACAGG